GCGCUUAGUUGGAUCUCAGUGUCAGACGAGUAGCGCAUAUACCUGAUGCGACGGCACCGACUGAACAUCAUGCCGGUUCCUUCUCGGUGCACUUCAUUGUGUGCCUCGAGAUGGUUGAGGCUUUUACAUUGAAAAAAAAAAAAUUGUGCUCAACGCAGGCGAGUCGCUUAAAUAAACUUGCAUGGAAUAAUAGAAGAAGGCUUCGUUUCUGUUCUGUUGGCCUUUUUGAAAUACGGAGUAACGAUUAAGAGCAACGGAUGGAGGCAUUUGUAUGGCGGCUCCAGAUCCAGGUGAAAUUCUUGGACCGUCAUCCAAGAAUUUCACCUGAAUCUAGACAAUGCAGGGGCAUUGUUAAAAAAAAUUGUUAAGGGGCGCUUAACAAAGGUUACAAAUAUCUAGCAC
rnacentral:rRNA from 1 species